GGGGAAUUUUGGACAAUGGGCGCAAGCCUGAUCCAGCCAUGCCGCGUGUCUGAAGAAGGCCUUCGGGUUGUAAAGGACUUUUGUCAGGGAAGAAAAGGGCGGGGUUAAUACCCCUGUCUGAUGACGGUACCUGAAGAAUAAGCACCGGCUAACUACGUGCCAGCAGCCGCGGUAAUACGUAGGGUGCGAGCGUUAAUCGGAAUUACUGGGCGUAAAGCGGGCGCAGACGGUUACUUAAGCAGGAUGUGAAAUCCCCGGGCUCAACCUGGGAACUGCGUUCUGAACUGGGUGACUAGAGUGUGUCAGAGGGAGGUAGAAUUCCACGUGUAGCAGUGAAAUGCGUAGAGAUGUGGAGGAAUACCGAUGGCGAAGGCAGCCUCCUGGGAUAACACUGACGUUCAUGCCCGAAAGCGUGGGUAGCAAACAGGAUUAGAUACCCUGGUAGUCCACGCCCUAAACGAUGUCGAUUAGCUGUUGGGCAGCUUGACUGCUUAGUAGCGAAGCUAACGCGUGAAAUCGACCGCCUGGGGUGUACGGUCGCAAGAUUA
rnacentral:rRNA from 1 species